GUAAGGAAUAUUGGACAAUGGACGCAAGUCUGAUCCAGCCAUGCCGCGUGAAGGAUUAAGGUCCUCUGGAUUGUAAACUUCUUUUAUAAGGGACGAAAAAAGGCUUUUCUAAGUCGUCUGACGGUACCUUAUGAAUAAGCACCGGCUAACUCCGUGCCAGCAGCCGCGGUAAUACGGAGGGUGCAAGCGUUAUCCGGAUUCACUGGGUUUAAAGGGUGCGUAGGCGGGCAGGUAAGUCAGUGGUGAAAUCCUAGAGCUUAACUCUAGAACUGCCAUUGAUACUAUCUGUCUUGAAGAUUGUGGAGGUAAGCGGAAUAUGUCAUGUAGCGGUGAAAUGCUUAGAUAUGACAUAGAACACCUAUUGCGAAGGCAGCUUACUACGCAUAUAUUGACGCUGAGGCACGAAAGCGUGGGGAUCAAACAGGAUUAGAAACCCCUGUAGUCC
rnacentral:rRNA from 1 species